AGAGUUUGAUCAUGGCUCAGGAUGAACGCUAGCGGCAGGCUUAAUACAUGCAAGUCGUGGGGCAGCAGGUUUGUAGCAAUACAGAUGCUGGCGACCGGCAAACGGGUGCGUAACACGUACGCAACCUUCCCGUUACUGGGGGAUAGCCCAGGGAAACUUGGAUUAAUACCCCAUAUUAUAUUGAUCAGGCAUCUGGUUAAUAUCAAAGCUUCGGCGGUAACGGAUGGGCGUGCGGCUGAUUAGGUAGUUGGCGGGGUAACGGCCCACCAAGCCUACGAUCAGUAGCUGAUGUGAGAGCAUGAUCAGCCACACGGGCACUGAGACACGGGCCCGACUCCUACGGGAGGCAGCAGUAAGGAAUAUUGGUCAAUGGACGAAAGUCUGAACCAGCCAUGCCGCGUGGAGGAUGAAGGUCCUCUGGAUUGUAAACUUCUUUUCUCUGGGGCGAAAAAAGCCUUUUCUAGGGCACUUGACAGUACCAGAGGAAUAAGCACCGGCUAACUCCGUGCCAGCAGCCGCGGUAAUACGGAGGGUGCAAGCGUUAUCCGGAUUCACUGGGUUUAAAGGGUGCGUAGGCGGGCAGGUAAGUCAGUGGUGAAAUCCCCGGGCUUAACUUGGGAACUGCCGUUGAUACUAUCUGUCUUGAAUAUCGUGGAGGUGAGCGGAAUAUGUCAUGUAGCGGUGAAAUGCUUAGAUAUGACAUAGAACACCCAUUGCGAAGGCAGCUCACUACACGAUAAUUGACGCUGAGGCACGAAAGCGUGGGGAGCAAACAGGAUUAGAUACCCUAGUAGUCC
rnacentral:rRNA from 1 species